GUCGGUGUUGAUGGCGCUGAGGGUCCACCCGUUCCCAUCCCGAACACGGUAGUUAAGCUCAUCCGUGCCGAAAAUACUUGUCUGGCGACGGACUGGAAAGAUAGGUCAGUGCCAACA
rnacentral:rRNA from 1 species